UACGUAGGGUGCGAGCGUUGUCCGGAUUUAUUGGGCGUAAAGGGCUCGUAGGCGGCCUGUCGCGUCGGGAGUGAAAGCCCACUGCUUAACGGUGGGUCUGCUUUCGGUACGGGCGGGCUAGAGUAUGGCAGGGGAGACUGGAAUUCCUGGUGUAGCGGUGAAAUGCGCAGAUAUCAGGAGGAACACCGGUGGCGAAGGCGGGUCUCUGGGCCGAUACUGACGCUGAGGAGCGAAAGCGUGGGGAGCGAACAGG
rnacentral:rRNA from 1 species